rnacentral:rRNA from 1 species
UACGUAGGGUGCGAGCGUUGUCCGGAUUUAUUGGGCGUAAAGGGCUCGUAGACGGCGUGUCGCGUCGGGAGUGAAAGACCGGGGCUUAACCCCGGUUCUGCUUCCGGUACGGGCAGACUAGAGUGUGGUAGGGGAGACUGGAAUUCCUGGUGUAGCGGUGAAAUGCGCAGAUAUCAGGAGGAACACCGAUGGCGAAGGCAGGUCUCUGGGCCACUACUGACGCUGAGAAGCGAAAGCAUGGGGAGCGAACAGG